CUCCCUGCUCCCCGGCAGUCCCCACAUGCAGCAGCAGACUAGUGGGUAGAACUGCAGGGGUAUGGAGACAUCCCGAACUUCAGCAGCAGCAGUCCCAGCACCCCGCCCCCAACCUCAGGCAUGAAGAGCAAGGUGUAUGGACACUGUGGACACAUGUCCCUUGAAGUCUGGCCUCCACCAGUACAUUGCCUGGGUUAAAUUCCACACAUGUCUGGCCCUGAAGCCAGUACUGUGUGCUUUCUUCAGCUAAAGCAAGCCCCCCUCCAUCUCUUCUGUAGCUUCCUAGGUCCUGGGCUCAUCAAGCAAUUGAAAUCUUUCAAAAUGAUCGAUCAGGGCUGAUCCACUCGAGAUUUUACUUGUGGUUGAUGUUAUUUUUCAAGUCAACGACCAAUUACAGUAACAGCAUUGAUUAAACACCGUCUCUCUGCCCUGCAUGGAAAUGCCAUCUUUCCUGUGCUUUACCUCGGAAUGGACCGGGCUUGGUUGCACACGGCUUUGAGCCCAGCACACUGAAGACAAACAGGUGGAACUCUGUGAGUCUAAGGCCAGCCUAGUCUACAAAGAGAGUUCCAGAACAGCCAGGGCUACAUAAUGAAACCUUGUGUCAAAACACAACCAACAAACAGCGUGGGUCUUGAAUGGCUUUUAUACGUCUUGGCCUCCUGGUCUACAAACUUGCUGUGUCAAUGCCGUGGAGCCUUUCACGCUAUUCCAUCAGCUUGGUCCAGAGUUUUAGCAUCUGGCACAACUGUUCUACAUCAGUGUUUUUCAGAGAUAAAAUGCUGCUCGUGAAAUGGAAAUAUUUAGAAUUGCUUCUACAUAAAUGUUAAAUGCUUUUAUAGAACCCAAGGAAAACCCUGUUGACGUUCUGAUUAAAAUUAAGGUUCUCAUCCCUUUG
ensembl:lincRNA 4833412C05Rik RIKEN cDNA 4833412C05 gene